UCUGUCUCAAAAAAAAAAAAAAAAAUUGGAAUGAUACAGAGGAGGUUAGCAUGGCCUAUGUGCAAUGAUGACAUGAAAAUUUGUGAAGUGUUCCAUAUUUUG